GACGAACGCUGGCGGCAUGCCUAAUACAUGCAAGUCGAGCGAACAGAUGAAGUGCUUGCACUUCUGACGUUAGCGGCGAACGGGUGAGUAACACGUAAGGAAUCUACCUAUAAGCGGGGGAUAACAUUCGGAAACGGGUGCUAAUACCGCAUAAUAUCUUCUUCCGCAUGGAAGAAGAUUGAAAGACGGCUCUGCUGUCACUUAUAGAUGACCUUGCGGUGCAUUAGUUAGUUGGUGGGGUAACGGCCUACCAAGACGAUGAUGCGUAGCCGACCUGAGAGGGUGAUCGGCCACAUUGGGACUGAGACACGGCCCAAACUCCUACGGGAGGCAGCAGUAGGGAAUCUUCCGCAAUGGGCGAAAGCCUGACGGAGCAACGCCGCGUGAGUGAUGAAGGUUUUCGGAUCGUAAAGCUCUGUUGCCAGGGAAGAACGGCCAGGAGAGUAACUGCUCUUGGUUUGACGGUACCUGAGAAGAAAGCCCCGGCUAACUACGUGCCAGCCGCCGCGGUAA
rnacentral:rRNA from 1 species